UGAACUCCUGUGUGUGUGUGUGGUGUGUGUGUGGUGUGUGUGUGUGUGUGUGUGUGUGGUGUGUGUGUGUGUGUGUGUGUGUGUGUGUGUGUGUGUGUGCAGAUCACCCGGACUUUGCCCCGUGUCCCCUGCCCCUGCCCCUGUCGAGCCCCAGUGUGCCCCUGUCCAGCUGUGAGCUCAGCAAGAACACGCGCCGCUGCCACCAGCAGCCCCUGGCAUCACAGCUCUCCUGCCGCCUCUACCAGACCUGUGACCACGCCGUGCUCCUGUCAGGUGGUUGGCAGGAGCAGAUCACAUACCAGCGGCAUGUGCAGAACCUGCAGCUCUUUUACAAGAUGCUGCGCAAUAAUGGCUUCCAUAAGGACCACAUCAAAACCUUCUUUGCAGGGAACGGCCAGGUUGCAGCCAAGGAGACGGAGGGCGUGUACUCGGCCACGGAGAAGGAGACCAUCAGGAGCCACGUGGCCUACGUGUGCCGCAAGCAGCACUGCGCCGACACCCUGGUGCUCUACCUCAACAGCCCCACCUGGAACGACGGAACCAUGCUGCUCUGGGACAGGAACCACAACGGCAUCGCGGACCUGAAGGAGCGCUACUCUGUUGGUGAGCUGCUGUCGGACCUGGCGGGGUGUCGUGCCCAGCGCGUGCUGCUGUUCGUGGAGCAGAGCUACAGCGGCGCCCUCAGCAAGAGGCUGCGGAGCUCCAGGAAGCACCAGAACGUGGUGCUGGUCAGCGCCCUGCCCUGGGUGGAAGCGGCACAGGCUUGGGCAUCACUGCAGCCCUCACACUGCCUCAUGGACCACCUCACCAAGAGUGCUGCGAUGCCUCGUCUGAGUGAGUCGGCACAGGGCCUGCUGAACGUCACCCUGGCGGGGGCUCCGUGUAAUGCCACCCCCCCUCUCACGGAGGCCGAGAUGCGCAGGGAGUUCAUGGGCUGCCAGAACCUGCCCACAGCCCUCUGGCACAGGGGGCAACGCCGCGGCAACUAAAACCAGAAACGCCUGACGAUGAACACACAUGAUACGCAUUAACGCACACACACACACAUAUGCAUUUACAGACCUACAGCCUUGCAUAUAGGAAGACGUGGACUCACACACGUCAGAUGUGAACUCCUACUAAAGUUGGCACAUAUACAUACAGAGAUUAUAUGCCCUCGUUGCACACCAAGGACACCCACAAAUGCACACACACACACACACACACGGACACAGACACACACAGUGUUCCUUAUCAUACCGCAGAUGAACCUGCUUUGUUUCUCCCUGUCUUUCUCCCGAGUCUUUUCUCUCCUAUAAACAUGUCUAGUUUGGGAUUAUAAAGGGACUUCUUCAGCACUUCUAAGUCUUAUCCAUCCAGCCAGCCCCCCCCAUCCCCCCUCAACACCCCCCUCUGGCCUGUAGGUACCACUAGAGCAGGAGUUACACAAGGCUGUGCAGUAUAGGUGCUGUACUCAAGCAUCUUCUCUUCACCUGUACCAUCAGGGGAAUGCCUCUCAUAUCACUCACCACAAGGCAGGUGGAUCAGGCCCAGAAUGCCCCCCCAACCCAUCUGCUUAUCUUAAGGGUUAGGGUUAGCUCCAUGCACACACACACACACACACACACACACACACACACACCACUCAGGCCCAGAAUGGCCCCCAAACCCAUCUGCUUAUCUUAAGGGUUAGGGUUAGCUCCAUGCACACACACACACACACACACACCACUCACAGAAAGAGCAGCAGGCUGUGGAAUAGAAUCUGGCCGUCAUCUGUCCAGUCCGGUCUUGAGCUGGUUCCUACCCAUGGUUCUGCUGCAGUCAGGAACACAUUUCAUUCAGUGCACUUAAGGACACAGCACCUUCUCCCACCCACACUGACACCAGAGCACCACAGCACCUUCUCCCACCCACACUGACACCAGAGCACCACAGCACCACUGACGAGCUUCACCAGACAGCCGCUCGUGCUGAGGUAGAUCUGAGACGCCAGAUUCACAAACUUCCAUCUCCAUGAUAAAACAGACCUAUAGGUGUGUGCAAAAGUGUGUGUGCGUGUGUGUGGAGAUUUGAAUGUGUGGAUGAUGGUCGAUGUAAGUGUCUGUGUGAGUGAAAGUGUGUGUGUGAGUGUGUGUGUUGUCCUCCCUCUGAACUUGUCCUCUGCUCAGGCGGUGAUGCCCCACCCCUCCCCCGCCGUUGGAGGUGCAGCCUUUCUCCGAGUACACACUCUCUCGACUCUUUUUCACCACACACACACACACACACUCUCUCUCUUGACACACACUCUCUUUUUCAGCACACACACACUCUUUUUCAGCACACACACUGACGCAGUCUGGGAAAAGGUUCAGCACGGGGACACCAGCAUCCUUGAGAGAGAGGAGGAGAGAGAGAAGAGAGUGAGAGAAAGAGAGAGUCAGGGAGGGGAGGAGAGAGAGAGACAGAGAGGGGAGGGGAGGAGAGGAGAGAGAGAGACAGGGAGGAGAGGAGAGGAGAGAGAGCUUUGUCGCGGGUCAGUGAGUGGUCACGGCUAGGGCUAAAAAAAGCUUGUCAGUGACAACGCCACUCCACACACACCUACACACACACACAGACACACACACGCCUAGCACUUGUUCCGCUGUUCUAAUGUUCCGCCCCCCCCCCCCCAACUCCACCUGCAAGAGCGAGAGAUGACGAGGGAGGGAUCAUUUAAUUAUGAGAAGCAACGCCCAGUGCAGGACAACACACAUCACCCCCUCCCUUCCCCAUACACACACACACACACACACACACUAAGUUUGACCGUGGGACAGAUCUGGUACAGCCUCUGGAUACCAUCGCUGAUCCGUUCCAUAGUUCGGCGGUUUAUGACACAUGUGACCCAAGAGCCACCAUCUCACAGUAAACACAUACGAGACACAGACACUCUCCUGUCCUAGAGACAAGGACACUGAGACAGAGACACUCUCCUGAGACAAGGACACAGACACUGACACUCUCCUGAGACACAGACAGAGACACACACACACUCCUGCCCUCGAGACAAGGACACUGAGACAGAGACACAGACACUCUCCUGAGACAAGAACACUGAGACACAGACACUCUCCUGCCCUAGAGACAAGGACACUGAGACACAGACACUCUUCUGCCCUAGAGACAAGGACACUGAGACAGAGACACUCUCCUGAGACAAGGACACAGACACUGACACUCUCCUGAGACACAGACAGAGACACACACACACUCCUGCCCUCGAGACAAGGACACUGAGACAGAGACACUCUUCUGCCCUCGAGACAAGGACACUGAGACAGACAGAGACACUCUCCUGAGACAAGGACACAGAGACAGACACAGACACUCUCCUGCCCUAGAGACAAGGACACAGAGACAGACACAGACACUCUCCUGCCCUCGAGACAAGGACACUGAGACAGACAAAGACACUCUCCUGCCCUAGAGACAAGGACACUAAGACACAGACACUCUCCUGCCCUCGAGACAAGGACACUGAGACAGAGACAGAGACACUCUCCUGAGACAAGGACACAGACACAGACACUCUCCUGCGCUCGAGACAAGGACACUGAUAGACAUAUUUACACACUUCAACAGAGAUAUCACACAUCAUCAGAUUCUGGUAUGGUUCUCGCACCUGAUCCCACCUGAUGUCUGCCUCUGUGUGUCUGAGACAUAGGAACAAUCACCCGUGUUCAUGUGAAGAGCGCAUCGUCAGUCUACACAACACCCGCUUCUCUUCCACUGAACUGGUUUCCCAGCAUGCAGUUUGAGGUGAUCUAACAGAACAGAACAGAACAGGGCAGAACACACUCCACAGUCAGCGGUUGUCUUGGUUACACAAUUCCUUUCCCUCCACAGUCGGAAGGGAUUAAAUCGGCACUCUUAACACUCCACAACCAUCUAGACAAGACACACGCAGACACUCACGCUUACAGGAUGAAGGACCUCUUCUCGGGGGAUAGUGUGAUGUUGAAGUCAUUUCCAAGAACAGUUCUUUGAUCUUUGACCCCAGGACUCCUCGUUCACCUCCUCUCUCUUGUUGCGUCACCUCCCUCCGCUUCUCCUCUUCCCAGUCCAUCCCUCCACAUUUGUGUACAUAUCACCUGUUCUCCUUUUCCUGACUGGGCCGAGACAUCCAUAGUGUGUGUGUGUGUGUGUGUGUGUGUGUAUAUGUGUGUGUGAGGAGGGAACAUCGUCCCCCACUCCUCCUAUGUACUUUAAACCAUAGCUUGUUUAAGCAGAUGUAAAUAUUCAAAAUAAAUUAACUUUUGUACAUAGCUGUUUGUAUUUA
rnacentral:lncRNA from 1 species